GUGCUCACUUUGGCAGUACAUAUACUAACAUUGGAAGGAUACAUAGAAGAUUAGCAUAGCCCCUGCACAAGGAUGACACACAAAUUUACAAAGCAUUCUAUAUUUUU
ensembl:snRNA U6 U6 spliceosomal RNA